rnacentral:rRNA from 1 species
AUUGAACGCUGGCGGCAUGCCUAACACAUGCAAGUCGAGCGGAUGAAGGGAGCUUGCUCCUGGAUUCAGCGGCGGACGGGUGAGUAAUGCCUAGGAAUCUGCCUGGUAUUGGGGGAUAACGUCCGGAAACGGGCGCUAAUACCGCAUACGUCCUGAGUGUGAAAGUGGGGGAUCUUCGGACCACACGCUAUCAGAUGAGCCUAGGUCGUAUUAGCUAGUUGGUGUGGUAAAGGCCUACCAAGGCGACGAUCCGUAACUGGUCUGAGAGGAUGAUCAGUCACACUGGAACUGAGACACGGUCCAGACUCCUACGGGAGGCAGCAGUGGGGAAUCUUGGACAAUGGGCGAAAGCCUGAUCCAGCAAUGCCGCGUGUGUGAAGAAGGUCUUCGGAUUGUAAAGCACUUUAAGUUGGGAGGAAGGUCAGUAAGUUAAUACCUUGCUGUUUUGACGUUACCAACAGAAUAAGCACCGGCUAACUUCGUG